rnacentral:rRNA from 1 species
AUUGAACGCUGGCGGCAUGCUUUACACAUGCAAGUCGAACGGCAGCACGGGGCAACCUGGUGGCGAGUGGCGAACGGGUGAGUAAUGCAUCGGAACGUACCCAGUCGUGGGGGAUAACGUAGCGAAAGUUACGCUAAUACCGCAUACGUCCUGAGGGAGAAAGCGGGGGACCGAAAGGCCUCGCGCGAUUGGAGCGGCCGAUGUCGGAUUAGCUUGUUGGUGGGGUAAAGGCCUACCAAGGCGACGAUCCGUAGCGGGUCUGAGAGGAUGAUCCGCCACACUGGGACUGAGACACGGCCCAGACUCCUACGGGAGGCAGCAGUGGGGAAUUUUGGACAAUGGGCGAAAGCCUGAUCCAGCCAUGCCGCGUGAGUGAAGAAGGCCU